GGUUGGUCCGAGAGUAGUGGUGU
rnacentral:piRNA from 2 species